UUGUUGCCAGUGAAACGUGCUCUAAUACGGCAUCUUGUACACACGAGACUUGUACUGGCACUGGAUGGAACAUACACUGUGUGAGGGGAACCUGCACGUGCUUGCAAGACACAGGUAGUGGGUGUACAGCUGCGACUGACUGCAGCUUUGACAACGGAAGAACUCCACCUUGCAUUGACGGACACUGCAGAUGCGGAUUCGGCGGAGGCCGUUAAACCAAUCACUAUUUGAUGUAAACAUAAGGAAAUAAAAUGAAUUCCGUUAA